rnacentral:rRNA from 1 species
CCAGAAAAUACCGCAUCCCG